GAGCAAUGAUGAGUUCCUAUUUUGCCUGACUGCCAAAAAUGAAGGCUUCUACACUUGAACUGAGCUCA
rnacentral:snoRNA from 1 species